UUGGCGGCGUGGUUAAGACAUGCAAGUCGAACGAGAGAAUUGCUAACUUGCUAAUAAUUCUCUAGUGGCGCACGGGUGAGUAACACGUGAGUAACCUGCCCCCGAGAGCGGGAUAGCCCUGGGAAACUGGGAUUAAUACCGCAUAGUAUCGAAAGAUUAAAGCAGCAAUGCGCUUGGGGAUGGGCUCGCGGCCUAUUAGUUAGUUGGUGAGGUAACGGCUCAUCAAGGCGAUGACGGGUAGCCGGUCUGAGAGGAUGUCCGGCCACACUGGAACUGAGACACGGUCCAGACACCUACGGGUGGCAGCAGUCGAGAAUCAUUCACAAUGGGGGAAACCCUGAUGGUGCGACGCCGCGUGGGGGAAUGAAGGUCUUCGGAUUGUAAACCCCUGUCAUGUGGGAGCAAAUUAAAAAGAUAGUACCACAAGAGGAAGAGACGGCUAACUCUGUGCCAGCAGCCGCGGUAAUACAGAGGUCUCAAGCGUUGUUCGGAAUCACUGGGCGUAAAGCGUGCGUAGGCUGUUUCGUAAGUCGUGUGUGAAAGGCGCGGGCUCAACCCGCGGACGGCACAUGAUACUGCGAGACUAGAGUAAUGGAGGGGGAACCGGAAUUCACGGUGUAGCAAAUCACUAGUGAAUUC
rnacentral:rRNA from 1 species